rnacentral:tRNA from 1 species
UCCGCCGUGGGGUAAUGGCAGCCCGCCAGCCUUUGAAGCUGUAGGUCCUGGAUCGAGACCAGGCGGCGGAGCCC